UCGAGGAUCUUCGGCAAUGGGCGAAAGCCUGACCGAGCGAUGCCGCGUGCGCGAUGAAGGCCUUCGGGUUGUAAAGCGCGAAAGAGGGGAGAAAAGCCGAAAGGUUUGAUCUAUCCUCAGUAAGCUCGGGCUAAGUUCGUGCCAGCAGCCGCGGUAAGACGAACCGAGCGAACGUUGUUCGGAAUCACUGGGCUUAAAGGGCGCGUAGGCGGGCUGUCAAGUUUGGGGUGAAAUCCCGCGGCUCAACCGUGGAACUGCCUCAAAUACUGACGGUCUCGAGGGAGGUAGGGGCGAGCGGAACUGAUGGUGGAGCGGUGAAAUGCGUUGAUAUCAUCAGGAACUCCGGUGGCGAAGGCGGCUCGCUGGACCUUUUCUGACGCUGAGGCGCGAAAGCUAGGGGAGCAAACGGGAUUAGAUACCCCCGUAGUCC
rnacentral:rRNA from 1 species